GUUGUUUUUGUUGUCAUUCAGCUUUCCAGCCAGUCAUCCUAAUUAUUAAUCUGUUAAAUUGAGAUUAUAAUCACGUUGUUUUCCCAACAAUAACAGACGAUAACACGUUAACAACGAACACCGAUCAACAUGUUAUUAAACUCGAAAAAGGUUUUCAUCAAAAAUCAGGAUUCAACCAUUCACGAGUAAACCAAAACAUUUGCUGAUUGAUGCAGACUGAAACGUACUUUUCACCAAAUUUUCGCUAUCACUGGUGAUUGUAACAUUCAAUUAUUGCUCUUGUCGAUGCAUGAUUAACGCAAAUGAAACGUGAUUACGAUGACAUUGAUUGAAAAGAUGCAAAAUGUGCGGAUAAGUUUGGUUAAGAUGGUAUUCCUUUCCUUUCACAAUAACAAUCACAACACUUACAAUCAGCUAAUUAUGUGUGUAUGUGUUGAAAAGUGUUAUUUAUGAUCUUAAAAUAACAAUAUUUAAAUGGAAAAAUAUUGGUUAAUUGUUGGUAUGAUGUAUUAAUCAAUCCUGAAUGAAUCAAGAAAACUAAAAGCAAAACUGAUUUGGAUCGGAUUGGAAAUUAUGGAAAUCAAUAACAAUUUAUUGUCAAUGAUUUUGAUGUGACGGGCAAUCCAUAAAACGUCCAAUAUCAAGUCCUUAAACUGGUGCUAAAUGAUUGUUGAAAGAAAAUCCAGUUUUAAUCCAUUAACCAGAGAAUCUUAGAUAAUCCAAGUGAUUAGCAACAAUUAAAGUCCACAAUAACACAGAUGAAUGUCCCAUUUGAAGUAAAAGUUGGAGUUGACUGAAAUUGGAUUCAGUUGAUGUUGACAAUCAAAUUUAAUGGCAAAAUUUGAACAAAGAUGUCCAAUAACAAAGGUUAUUACAAAUGGUUUUCAAUUUUCCAAUGAUGAUAAAGAUGAACAAUAACAAAGAAACAAAUGAUGGUAAAACGUAGGCCCGAAGAGAAGGCCCUUUAUUUAAGGCAACAAGUGUAUGUAUUUACCUUACACUGAGGAACCCCCAAAAAAAGGAAGAAAAAAUAUCAUUAAGUCUACUUUGAAAGUUGUGUGUUAAACCAUGUCUGAUGUUGAUGGUUGAAGGAAUGUAACUAAGCUGGAGAGUGUAAACUUUAAUGUCCGCCGGAGAGUCAAGUGAGUUUAAAGAGAGGAAAAGAAAAAGGUUAAUAUUGAAGCAGCCUAGAGAAGUAAAACAUUGAGAAAUGGAAGAAAGAUUCUUAAUCUUCAUCUUUACCAAAUUCUUGGUUCCUUUUUUUACCUUCAUCAUCUUUUCACCAUUUAAUACGCACGAUUAUCCUUCAUCAUUACGAUCAUCUUUAACCAUUGUAUGGCUAAAACUAUGUCUAUCAGUGUUGGUAUCAAUCAUUUAACAGCAUCUUUCACUGAUUGUUUUCAACUUAAUUAUGCUUUAAUUUACAUCUUUAAAUGUAAAAUAAUUGAUUGGUUUUUUGGCCAACUCCAGACAAUGAUUCAAGAUUGAAAAUGCAAGAUUUGGGUUCACUUGGAAUCCAAUGAUAUUACAAGUGUAAAAAUAGUCUAACACUUGCUACAAUUAACUUUCACCUUUAAUUAUUCAAUAUAUAACAAGCUUACCAGUUGAACUACAAUUGAAAAUAGUCUCAAGUAUUACUGUUACUGAAUCUUAUAAUCUCACUCAGGCAAAUCAAAUCAAUUUAAAUCAUCUUUUCUUGUUCAUGUUAAAGGCUGUUGUUGCGCUAGAUGGUGAUGAUGAUGGCUCAAAAAUGGUAUUUAAUUGAAUGGUAACAAGUUAAACACGCAACAAUUGAAAGUCAAUUGUACACAGUUAAUCACAUCAAUUGUAAAAGCACCAUAAAAGAGUUAAAAAAAAGUGAUUCCCAGUUAAUCAGAAGCAACUCCAAGAGCAACAUCAAUAAUCAAUAAACAGUUGAGUUGAUACAACAAUUUGACUUUCAAUUAUUUUCGGCAAACAUUUUUCUUUAAUAAUAAUCAAGCCUAACACCUGAACAUUAAUGGUUAAAAGUGAAUCAAUUGAAGCUAUUAAAUGACCAAUUGAAAAGAGCAUUAAACAUUGGUUUAGAGGAACAAUUGUAAGUAAUGAAUAUUCAUAGUUUAGUCUGUUUAAGAGUUGUCCUCAAUUCAAUUUAAAUUGUUACUCAAUUUAAACUCUAUUAUCUAUCUGAUCAUGGUUUCAUUGAUGUAUAUCAUAAUAAUGGUUAGUUGAUGAAGAUGAUCACAAAAUAAGGAUCACGAUGAUAUUAAGCGAUAUGAUUUACUGAUAUCAAUGCGAUGGCCUGCCAGUUGGCCUUUGUUUUACCUUUAUUUUUGCCUUUUAUGUUUGUAUUACAAAUUACAAUUUAACUAUUAAUACUGAUUAUUGGAAAGAUUAACUGAAUCAUUUGGAUGGUAGUUAAUGUUGAUUGGAUUUGCUUUAUAGUAACUGAAACAUGUGUUUUACUUGUUGCCAGCAUUUUGUUACAAUAUAAUCUGUUCAUCUUGACUUUACUUUACAAUUAUAAUUAGUAUUUUUGUAUCUUUAUUUAACUAAUCAUUAUGAUUAUGAUUUAGAAGGUAAAUUGUUGAAAUAAUGAUCCAAUUGAUUUGAUUAUGAACCAAGUGAAUUGAUAAUUGUUAUGAUAUGUAAUGGUUGGGACAGUCAACAACAAAGCCAAAUUGUUUUAGUCUAAAAAUACACAUCAAACUAAAUCCAUAAUUGUAGAUUGAACAAGCUGAUCAAAUGGUUUAAUGGUUUAAAUCGGUUGUUUGUAUUGGCAAAAUGCUGUAAUUUAAAAUGGGAAUUAAGAGACAAUCAUUAGAAAUGUUUUGAUUUAGUUUGCCAACAAAUAUUCAUUUCGGCCAAUCGGUUU